rnacentral:lncRNA from 1 species
CUAACGAGACAGCCCUACACACCUCGUCUAAUACUACUCCUACGCAACCUACUCCAGCCGAGACCAACCCUUCACAGCAGCUACCUCACACCAAUCCUUCCUACACUCGAAGCACUCGAGGCCGAGGCCGAGGCCGCGGCCGCGGUCGAGGCCGUGGCAGACACCAACCAUCACCACCAUGGACUCAUUACCCACGGUUUACCCAGCCGAUCCCUACCAAAACCGAAAUCCCUCUUGGCCAUAACCAACCGAAUAUUUUUGGGCCUCCCCACUGUGUCCGUAUCCCACUCUCCCACAAUCUCGACCCCCGACAUCCACUCCACGACAGGGUAUUCCCGGCCCUCGUCCUCAACAGGCCUUCGCGGCUUCGGAUACUCCCUACAUGCCAAUGACUCUUGACCAAGCCUUCAAUGCUUUCACUCUAAAUCCACCGGACCAGAAUUGGUAUAUGGACUCGGGCGCCACAGGACCUCCACACCCGGAAGGACAUCCUUUGAUGUGAUAGCACUAGUGAUCUCUACCCAUUAACACUACCUUCAAGUUCCAAAGUUCAACCGUCUCAUGCUCCCGUUUCUUCCUUUUUAGCCGUGACCCAAGACACUUGGCACCGCCGUCUUGGAUAUCC